CACAUAAGUGUGUUUCUGGUCGACAUUUUCACCAGACAAGAAAAGAUUCUUCUCUUGAACCCUAAAUUACAAAGAAAUGCUCAAAUCGAAGGGGAAAUCAAGCUAAAAAUUGGGGAUUUUAUUAAAUUCGUGAUCACCAAGUCAUGAGGAUCACAAGUUGAAGGAUACUCGCAUCUGAAGAUGGCGAGAGUGUAACAAGUGACGGACAUGACAGAGGAACGGUCCGAAGUACGACAAGUAGAGUAUGCUCAUCAAGGACCUAAAUCGCGUGAUGACCGCGAACAAGGUUAAUGACAUGGAAAGCCCAUUAGGGCAAGCAUUACUAGGCGCACACUUUUAAAUUAAAUCGCACAAAUAGUAAUAUGCAACAAACAUGUAGAGAAUGACGGUUGCAUACGUAGGAUAAAACUUGGGAAACCUGAAUAGGAUAUCUAUUCAGGAUGAUGUUUCUAAGUGAAAACAAAUAGAAACAUGUGUUAUUCACCAUUGUGAAUAACAAGACAAUAAUAGAAAUAGUUUAUGUGAAAACUUGGACGGGAAUAAAUAUCCAAGUGAAUUAUUCUCAAUAUAAUACUAUUGAAAAAAGUAGCGAUCACAUUAACGAAUUUGAUGAUAUAAUAGCUAGGUAAAAAGGAAAACAUUUUAUAUGUUCAAAGAAUAAAACGGGUAAAACUAAUAAUUGAUAAAUAACAAUUAAAUAAAGUUUUACCAACUGA
rnacentral:lncRNA from 1 species